rnacentral:tRNA from 1 species
CUGCCGGUCCUGGAACAUACUGGUCUCGGGCACCAGUGAUCGUGGGUUCAAAUCCCACCCGCCCCA